CGGUAAUUCCAGCUCCAAUAGCGUAUACUAAAGUUGUUGCAGUUAAAAAGCUCGUAGUUGGAUUUCUGCGGGGACGGAGCGGCCGGACGCAACUUGCGUCUCGAGCUAGCGCUUUCCCCGCAUCCUGCCGCGAACCGUGCUACCAUUAGUUUGGUGGCGCUGGGGAUCGGCUCGAUUACUUUGAGAAAAAUAGAGUGUUCAAAGCAGGCCACACGCCUUGAAUAAGUUAGCAUGGAAUAAUGACUAAGGACUUUGGUUCUUUUCGUUGGUGUUCGGGACUGAAGUAAUGAUUGAUAGGGACAGUUGGGGCGGUCCGUAUUCCAAAGCGAGAGGUGAAAUUCUUAGACCUUCGGAAGACGAACAGCUGCGAAAGCGUUCCGCAAGGAUGUUCCCUUUGAUCAAGAACGAAAGUUGGGGGAUCGAAGACGAUCAGAUACCGUCGUAGUCUCAACUAUAAACUAUACCAGCUAGGGAUCGGCCAACGUUUAAUUAUUCGACUUGGUCGGCACCUUAUGAGAAAUCAAAGCAUCUGGGUUCCGGGGGGAGUAUGGUCGCAAGGCUGAAACUUAAAGGAAUUGACGGAAGGGCACCACCAGGCGUGGAGCCUGUGGCUUAAUUUGACUCAACACGGGAAAACUUACCAGGUCCAGACAUAGGAAGGAUUGACAGAUUGAUAGCUCUUUCUUGAUUCUGUGGGUGGUGGUGCAUGGCCGUUUUUAGUCGGUGAAGUGAUUUGUCUGCUUAAUUGCGUUAACGGACGAGACCCCAGCCUGCUAAAUAGCGCGGCCGAGCUUUGCUCGGUACGAGCUUCUUAGAGGGACCAUGAUGCGCGAUAGCACAAGGAGGUUUGGGGCAACAACAGGUCUGUGAUGCCCUUAGAUGUUCUGGGCCGCACACGGGCUACACUGGCGCCUGCAACGAGCAUAUCAGCUGGCCCGAGAGGGUCUUGGCUAAUCUUUGGAACCGGCGCCGUGCUUGGGAUUGACCAUUGCAAUUGUUGGUCAUGCAACGAGGAAUGCCUUGUAAACGCGAGUCAUCAGCUCGCAUUGAAUACGUCCCUGCCCUUUGUACACACCGCCCGUCGCUCCUACCGAUGAAUGUUCCGAUGAAAUUUUCGGAGAGCGCCGGAGAACGGGGCUCUGCCCUGCAGAACUGGAGGCUCAAAGUCACUUAAAUCUGAACAUUUCGAGGAAGGAGAAGUCGUAACAAGGUAGCCG
rnacentral:rRNA from 1 species